AAUUCAUGAUCCACUAUCAUUUCCAAAAUACAACCAUAUGAUUCUUGAAGUCCAUCAAAUGAACAUGCACUUUUCAAAAUAUACUAUUUAUACAUUACCAUUAACUUCUAGAAUAACUACGUACUGCUCACAAUAGCCACAUCUUGACUUGCCUUCCAUAAUCAUGAAGGUCCCAUGUAUCAGUCCAGAGAUGUUGGACAGUAGAAGAGCAUGGAACGUACCAUUUUUGUCUCAAGAGAUUUUUCUCGGCAUCCAUGGGAACACAGUUUCCUGUUUCAGAAAAGAAGUGUUAUAUAUUAGCCACAAGGAGCAUAAACUAGGAGAAUCUAUAUGCACUUACAGUGAAAAGAUUUUGAAUGAAUGAGUAGAGUUUAACUUAUUAUAUUAGAUACUUAUUAUAUAUCAGAAAGAUUUUAUAUAUAUAUAUAAUUACAUCAUUGAUUGAUCUGAUUAUUUAAAUAUAUAUUUUUUUUUUUACAUCGUCGGUGUAUAAAGCUUAUUAAGCUUAAUAGAAAAAAUGCCCUCAGUCAAAUAUGAUAGUCACUGAAAAUGUAUAAAUUUUCUUACAAAAUUUUAAGAGAUAUAAUCAUAUUUACUUAUAGGUUAAUAGGAUCCAAAUAGAGGCUGAUGUAUAUUGAAGACAUCAGAUAUUGACGCACCCACAUAGUAUUUGUUUACACACAACUUAAGUGCGAAGCCAUUAAUUAGUCACGUCAAAG
rnacentral:lncRNA from 1 species